UACGUAGGGUGCGAGCGUUGUCCGGAAUUAUUGGGCGUAAAGAGCUCGUAGGCGGUCUGUCGCGUCUGCUGUGAAAUCCCGAGGCUCAACCUCGGGCUUGCAGUGGGUACGGGGCAGACUAGAGUGCGGUAGGGGGAGACUGGAAUUCCUGGUGUAGCGGUGAAAUGCGCAGAUAUCAGGAGGAACACCGGUGGCGAAGGCGGGU
rnacentral:rRNA from 1 species